AUGGCGUCCAAAGCAGCAGCGGCACUUGUCAUCCUGGCCUUGGCCUGCGCGGCCGUCCAUUCGGCAGCGGCAGGGCUCUCGCCGGACUUCCACGCGGUGUCGUGCCCGGACCUGGAGCACAUCGUCAUGUACCACGUCGCCGAGGCCUUCAGGAAAGACGUCGGGGUCGCCCCCGCACUCAUCCGCAUCCUCUUCCACGACUGCUUCCCGCAGGGCUGCGACGCCUCGGUGCUCCUAACGGGGAACAACAGCGAGCAGGGGAUGGGGCCCAACCUGACGCUCCGGCCGGUGGCGCUCAACCUCAUCGAGAGCAUCCGCGCCGCCGUGCACCGCGCCUGUGGCCGGAUUGUCUCCUGCGCCGAUCUCACCGUCCUUGCUACCCGCGACUCCCUCGUGCUGGCUGGCGGACCCCACUUCGACGUGGCUCUCGGCCGACGUGACGCGCUAGCCCCAGCGUUGGAGGAUCUCGUCUUCACCCUACCGGCGCCCUCCUUCACCGUGCCGGAACUCCUCAAAUCCUUCGGCGACCGAAACCUCGACAAGGCGGACCUGGUGUCCCUCUCUGGCGCGCACUCCUUCGGCAUCGCCCACUGCUCCUCCUUCUCCGACCGCUUCACGCCGGUCGACGACACCGACCUAGUCAUCGACCCCAAUUUCGCGGCCAAGUUGAGGGCCAAGUGUGCUAAGGACAUGCCUGCGGGCACCGUCAACCAGACCCUCGAUUUGCGUACGCCGGACGUGUUCGACAACAAGUACUACUUUGAUCUCAUUGCCAAGCAGGGUCUGUUCAAGUCGGACCAGGGCCUCAUCGUCCACCCCAACACCACGCGCAUGGCGACGCGGUUCUCGCUCAACCAGGGGGCAUUCUUCGAGCAGUUCGCCAAAUCCAUGGUGAAGAUGAGCAACAUGGACUUGCUCACCGGCAGCCAGGGCGAGAUCCGGUUCAACUGCGCUGUCCCCAACAGCCGUGUCGAGGGCAUCGAGACCGCCAGCGACGAGGGCCGUGCCGCCGCCAUGUAA
rnacentral:rRNA from 1 species